ACUGGGCUUAGGUUAAUUGGUCACUCUACAUUGCCCAUGAGUGUGAAUGGUUGUCUGUCUCUCUGUGUUAGCCCUGUGACAGGCUGGUGCCCCAGCCCCCCUGACCCUGAACAAGAUAACUGGAAGAUGGAUGGAUGUUCUCACUCCUUACUUGUCACAUAUGGAUGCUUGGGCAGGGUCCCUCUGCGUCGCUCAUGAAUGCGCUGGGUACCCCCAGUACCCCUCAAUAGUAGCUAUAAAAUGUGCUACUACUUUCCCAGUUGGCGUAUUUGUCAAUUCCUAACAGUUUCAUUCAUUCCAUUUCAGUUUGAACAUAUUUCAUCCAGCUUCUGUGGAUUUAUGCAGUCAUUUUACCAUCUCUGCUUUAGCCAAUCUAGCUUUUGGAGAUGUACCAAAAAUUAAAAUUAAAUAUAGAAAUAAGGACAGUUUUAAUGUGGGCCAAAACAUGCGCAGUGUUCAUCUAAGAUUAUGCCGACUAACAUAUUUGAAAAAAAAUUUUUUUUAAUUUCAAAUCAGUGUCACUGACAUCAUCGUAUACGACCAUUACAAGACCGCUCAGUGAGUGAAAACACGAACCUGUAAAGAUUUUAUAUAAAACAGAAAAGAGCCCGAAAGUGUCAGCUCUCUGUCUUGUCUCUCUCAUUUCUCUGUCCUCACUGCUCUUAUUUGUCAGUCCUUCUGUUAUCCCUGUCUCUGUUUCUGUCCCUUUGUCUCUGCUAUAUGUGAGUGAUUUUGUGUAUUUGCUUUUUCUGUCGAUCACCAUGAGUGACUCGAAAAUCCAAGAUCCUUUAAUGAGCCUGGAUAAUGAGACUGAUCAGCAUGAAAUAACUGAUGAGCUUCAACAUCUUGAUGACUUGCUUCAUGAGCUGGAGCAAGAGGAAGCUCCAGUACCAGUGAAGACACCUGAACCAACAGUGAGCUGGAGAAAGCAAGACAAGGAUGGAAAUGAGCUGUAUUUGAGGCCAAGAUCAACCAGGCACCAGCCACAUAAGGAUCUGAGGAGCAGGCCAUCUUUGAAGACAUCUUCAUAGCAAAGGAUGAAGACGUGGCAAGAUUUGUUGACUAUAUACACAACACAAGCAGACAUGUCUCUGAAAGAGGUGUUUGUGUAAGGGGAAUGGUCAGCAACCAGAGAGACCUCCCAAAGACCCAGCAACAAGAUGCAUGAAGAGGGACUGGACUUAUAGUGUGUAGGCAUGGAGUGCUGCGCAGUGCUCUAAACAUGUACAGGGGUGAAAUUUUUGCUUAUUCCUUGUACCUGCAACAAAGGCUGGACAAUCAGCAAAUUACUUUUUUUUGUAUGGAUAUGACCUGCAAGUAUUGGCCGUAUCUUGAAAGAGUAACAAAAGAUGUCCAGAGCUUCAGCACCAAACAUGAAGCCAUUUCUUUCAGGAUUUCAUUCCAUAGCUCACGAUUUCAAAUGUGAGGUGAAAUGGAAUGGAGCAUAUCAGGAUGGGGCUGGUUUGACACUGGGGGAGGAGGUAGAGUAGUGCAAUGCUUUUCUCUCAAGGAUUGCAGUUACCAUAAAGCAUAUGUCCAAAGCAGGAUGGAGAGACAUGCUGACUCUUAUGGCAAUAUGCUGGAAUCGCCAAAGGUUAGACAACUUGGCCAUCUCUCUGACCCACCGAUAUCAGAAAACCACAAAAGCUCUUCUAAGCCAACUGCAGAACCCGGAGCCCUUAAAAGUCCACUUGGCAGUGACUGACAGUCAACUGGACAACUGGGUCAGUGAUGUAAAAGAGUGGGCAGAAGCUGCAGCAACAACAAGCACAGGUGAUGCCGAUGCCUUAGUGAACAGAAUUGAAGUGCUGGUAGCGCGUAUCAAGAGGCAAUGCCAACGUCGGCCAAGAUUCACCGCAAGAUCAGAGAGGAGAAAGGCAUCUUGUCUUCUGCUGUGGAAAAACAACAGAAUGGUUCCUGACACACAAACUCUGCAUUAGGAAGAAAUCCUGUCCGCUGACACAGCUUGGCCGUGGCAGCGACCACACAUACUCUGUCAGUCUUCGAACAAAGAGAAGGGCAUUUGAUGUCAUCAUGGCAGUAAAGAGACUUGAGGAAGAAAAGAAGAUUCUUGUUAGAGCGAUGGCCCAUCACUGGAAAUCUCUUUCAGCUCAUGAUCAUACUCUGAAUGAGCUGUACUGCCUGCUUUCCAGUGAUACAUACCCCAAGUUUGUCUUGUGGCCUGAGUGAGGAGGGUGUGAACGGUCCACAGAGCAUCAUCCUCAGAAAGCGAGAGAAUGUCAAACAAGUCAAGCUGCAUGCGAGAGAGUGUUAUCUGCAAGCUGGUGACCUCUGUCUGGAGCAGAGGUCACCACCUUUGAUCAUGCUUCAGAUGAUGAGUUCAAUGGCUCUGAAUUUUCCAUCCACUUCAAACUUAGCCACUUCAGGGGACACAUGUAGCUAUAGACAUACCUCACCCACAAAUGUACUUUUGGACAUAUUUUUUCCACUGUAUAUUUUCCUGUUUAUUUAUCUUAAUUGAUCCAGUGGUUACUAGGCCAACAAAGUGUAGU